rnacentral:rRNA from 1 species
UCUGGUCUUGGGACACUGUCAGGUGGGCAGUUUGACUGGGGCGGUCGCCUCCCAAAAGGUAACGGAGGCGCUCAAAGGUUCUCUCAGUACGGUCGGAAAUCGUACGUAGAGUGUAAAGGCAAAAGAGAGCUUGAUUGCAAGACAUACAGGUCGAGCAAGGAUGAAAAUCGGACUUAGUGAUCCGGUGGUUCUGCGUGGAAGGGCCAUCGCCCAACGGAUAAAAGCUACCCUGGGGAUAACAGGCUUAUCUCCCCCAAGAGUCCACAUCGACGGGGAGGUUUGGCACCUCGAUGUCGGCUCAUCACAUCCUGGGGCGGUAGUAGGUCCCAAGGGUUGGGCUGUUCGCCCAUUAAAGUGGUACGCGAGCUGGGUUCAGAACGUCGUGAGACAGUUCGGUCCCUAUCCGUCGCAGGCGUAGGAAAUUUGAGAAGACCUGUCCUUAGUACGAGAGGACCGGGAUGGACGUACCUCUGGUGUACCAGUUGU